UUAUUAUUUGUCAAAUAAUUACAUAACAUGAAUAUAAACAUAAUUAUUAUAUUAUUUUUCAUAAUAAACAAACAGUAUGUUCAAAGUUCAUUAUUAGAUUAUGUUCUAUCAUUCGGUUCUGAAACCGAAAAUAAAAAAAAUGUGGAUAUUAACAAUGGAGUAAUUGAUCAAAAUAUUCCAUAUGAGGUGGCAACGAUCGAUGAAAAAUUUAUAAAUGAAGCAGCACAAUUAACAGGUCUUGCACUUUCAGAAUUGGAUUCAUGUCAACAUCGGGUAGUUUUAAAACUUCAAACUGAAUGUCAUAAUUUAAACGAUGAACAAGUGUCCAAAUUAGCUGUAAUGUUGCUGAAUUGCCAAUCAGCCAUAGAAGGUCGAUCAAUUUACCCUUGUACGGAACGCAUGUCAUUACGAGAAUGUACAUCUUCAAUGGAUCCAGAUAUAUGGAACAGUUAUCAUAUAAUGACGAAUCGAGCACGCGCCGUUUGUUAUUCGGUUCGUCAAGCACAAUUUCGAGGUCUCACUGAAAUGACGGUUAAUAAACUAAUGAACACAGCCCAUGAGCAAUUGAGAUCAAUGUCUGAAUUAUCAGCUGGUCAACAAAAGUUACAUGAGACUACUUUAAAUUCAAUACAGGCUGUUUCGGAAGGACAAGAACAGCUUAAAAAACAACAAAGUGAUUUGCAGCAAGCACAAUUAAUGGGACAACUUGCUAUCGAAGAUAAUAUCCAACAAUUGGUUAGAGAAAAAGCUUUAAUAAAAGCGGGACACGAACAGAUUGCAAAAAUGACUCAAGAUGUUCGAUUAAAAUUAGAUGACGCAUCAACUCAAAUUGAACUUCAAAAUGUGGAUCAACGUCACAAACAUAAUCAAAUUUUGAAAGACUUAAUGGCUAUACAAAAAAAAGCUGAAGAUAUUUGGCAACGUAUUGAGGAAUCUACAACGCACAUGUUAGAACAAAGUGCUAGAGCAUCACGGCAAUAUGAGGUGACAUUAGCUCAAUUAGAGCAAGUAAAUUCAACGGUACAUGAAGUAUUCAAUUUGGUUGAACAAUCUAGAGCAGCUAUUGAUAACAAAUUAACGUGGUUAACUGAUACUCUUGGAGGAACAGGAAAUACGAUAGACAAAUUGUAUCUUUGUUUUAGUCACAUAUUAUAUCUAGUGUUUUCAAUGAUUUUGUGUUCAUUUUUAAAUGCACCCAAAAUCACUCGUUAUUUGGUUGUGACUAUAGUACCUUUAAAUUUAAUACUUUCAUUACAAAAAGGUAUUGAAAAUGCAUUUCCAUUACCAGGAUUAAGUUUUAUAAUCGUUUCAAUAACAAUUGCCCAUAUGGUAUUAAUUUCAAUAUUAACAUUCAUGUCAGACAAUAACAUACCCGCACGAGCUUUGACUUGGGUGAAAUCAUCAAAACAAUUAUUUAUUAAAUCAAAACAUUCUUUAAAUUAUCAACAAAAUAUUGGACCAAACAGUAGAAAUGAAUUUCUUACAAAUCCUAAUGUAUUUGAAACAAAGAGCACGUAUAAAGAAGCAACUUCUACGAAUAUGGAAUAUGAUUCAUUAAAUGCAGAAGAAGAUGAUGAUAUUGUUCCAGAAUUUAGUCGAAGUAUGCACGAAUUUUCUAGUCCAACACCUCCCAUAUCACGUGAAGAUGUUUAUUUAUCUCGGCAUUCAAGAUCUCGAAGUAAUACACCAGUUUUAAGUCCAAUAAGUCCAGUUGGUUCAUUACGAAGAAAUUGUUCAGCGAAAACACGAAUGGGAACUUUAUGUAAGAACUCAUCCUUACCAGGUCGUGAUUUUUGCUAUCGCCAUCAAAGUGGUGAUUCGGUAGUGGGAUAACAAUUAUUUAUUAUAAUUUUAUAAUGAAUAAGGACAUUAAAGUAAGAAUUCAUCAUCAGGGCUUGAUUUUUGUUAUCAUCAACAAACUUAUGUACACUAUGAUUGAACAAUCAUGUGCUACUGGAGUAAAAUAAAAAGAGGAUGCUAUAC